AGAGUUUGAUCAUGGCUCAGGAUGAACGCUAGCGAUAGGCCUAACACAUGCAAGUCGAGGGGCAGCACAUGAAGUAGCAAUACGGAUGGUGGCGACCGGCGCACGGGUGAGUAACGCGUAUGCAACCUACCUACAACAGGGGAAUAACUCGUUGAAAGACGGACUAAUACCCCAUAAUACAGGGAUCCCGCAUGGGAAUAUUUGUUAAAGAUUUAUCGGUUGUAGAUGGGCAUGCGUUCCAUUAGCUAGUUGGUGAGGUAACGGCUCACCAAGGCAACGAUGGAUAGGGGAACUGAGAGGUUUAUCCCCCACACUGGUACUGAGACACGGACCAGACUCCUACGGGAGGCAGCAGUGAGGAAUAUUGGUCAAUGGACGCAAGUCUGAACCAGCCACGUCGCGUGAAGGAAGACGGCCCUACGGGUUGUAAACUUCUUUUGUAAGGGAAUAAAGUGAGCCACGUAUGGCUUUUUGCAUGUACCUUACGAAUAAGGAUCGGCUAACUCCGUGCCAGCAGCCGCGGUAAUACGGAGGAUCCGAGCGUUAUCCGGAUUUAUUGGGUUUAAAGGGUGCGCAGGCGGGAGAUUAAGUCGGCGGUGAAAUUUUGCAGCUCAACUGUAAAAGUGCCUUCGAAACUGGUUUCCUUGAGUGUAGAUGAAGUAGGCGGAAUUUGUGGUGUAGCGGUGAAAUGCAUAGAUAUCACGAGGAACUCCGAUUGCGCAGGCAGCUUACUAAACUACUACUGACGCUCAGGCACGAAGGCGUGGGGAUCAAACAGGAUUAGAUACCCUGGUAGUCCACGCAGUAAACGAUGAUUACUAGCUGUUUGCGAUACAAUGUAAGCGGCUGAGCGAAAGCGUUAAGUAAUCCACCUGGG
rnacentral:rRNA from 1 species